UGUAACUUUAUCCUUGAGGAAUAUGCAGGGAAAUGAAGCCUAUUCAGACCAUUCUCACCUCAGAGGCUGUCUCCUCUACAUCUGCCUGUUUUGAGAUGGCUCCUACAUAAUCAUGAGGGUUCUUAUCUUUAAAAGACAGCUGCUUUACCUCAAGCAUAAAUCAGAAAAGGAAAAGGAGCUACCCAGCAAAGCCUGGCCUGGAGGGAGGAUGAAAGGGGAUAGAAGUUGAGAGAGGGGAAGGGAAGAAUAAAGGUCCCCUGGAGAGUCAACUCCAGGCCAAGCACAAUAAAUGAGAAUCCUCUACCCUUCUGGUGAGCACAGACUGAACAGAGAAUCUUACUUGAGAAGAAAAAGAUGAAGCCCUGGAUGCCUCAGAGGCAGCAAAGAAGAUCCCAUGAGAGUGACAAAUAUGCCUUGGGAGCAAAUCUGCCCUGGAAGUACAAGGCGUACCCUCCGCGUUCGUGGCAUAAAUGGGAGAUCCUGGUCACAAUGGGAACCAUGAUCUCUCUGCUUUAUAUCUGGCUGUAUUCCCAGAGCUUCCAUUUCCAUGUGGCACAUCUUUAUGCUCGCUUUGGGUAUCCCAGUGCCCAACUUAUUGUUGGCCAGAGAUACCUGAAAGGAGCUGGUGUGGUGAAGGAUGAAGAGAUGGCAAUGUAUUGGUUUAGACAAGCCUCCAAGCAGGACCAUCCCUAUGCUUCCUUUAAACCUUGCAGUAGGAAAACUUAAAAACAUGACUGGAUCCAUGGAAGUAGGGGAUGUAGAGAUUCUCCUUAAUGUUGGUGCAAGACAGGGGAUUCAAGAAGCUCAGGAACUUCUGGAGAAUGUUAUUUGGACCAGAAGCAAGCUCUUGCCAGCUACAAGAAUUAGGAGUUUUUACAAACCGUAGUGUGUGUGCUGCACACUUCCUGGAUCGAGACACUUCCCUCUCCCUCACUCACUGUUGCCUUGCAAUGCUCAGUGGAACUUUAAAUGGAAGUGGCUUUUAGUUAUAGUUUUAUAUGCUGCUGCAUCAUCAAUUUGCUGUUCAAAAUCCUUUAAGCAAGGUAUUGCUUGUGUUUUCCUGGGAUCCAAGUUUGAGCUCUUCUGGAUGGAGGAAUAUUUCAUUUGGAUUUCAUUACUGCUCACCUCAGCUUAGUUUCAAGUCAGCGAACAUUAUAUGAAGUGGUAGGAGGGAAAGAAGGAAGGAACCUGUCACCAGAGAUUUGGCUUCUUGGAUGUGUUAGUUGGCACCCACAGAUCACUGAAGGAGCUAAACUCGUCAUUAGCCUAAUCUAUGACAUGUGGUGUUCUGCUUAAAAUAAACUUGUUUUCUUGUCUCUAAAUUUCAAUUAUCUGCUCUAUUAGAUUUCUAUGGUAUUUUAUUGUAUUACUUUUUGUAUUACUUUGUGUAAAAAGUCCUUUAUGGGGAAAAAGUUAAAAGGCUGUGAAUAUUGCCAACAAAAGAAAAAAGGAUAAAAUGUAAGAUCUCACAUUUACUGAGCACCUGUCAUGUUGUAAGGUUUUUUCCUAACUGCUUUUAAGUAUUUUAGCAUUUAUUAGUUAUAAAAGCCUUAUGAGGUGGAUUGUGUCAUCAUUCUCAUUUUACAGAUGUGGGAAUAAAUGUGUAGAAGUCAAGUAAUAUGUGCAGGGUCAUAAAAUGAGAGGUAGAAUAAGAUUUUGAAAUUCUUAACUAGUUCUGCUACCAUUACUCUCUCAAAUCUCCUUCCUAACAAUUUCAAAUAUUCUCCAAGAGCAGCUACUUGGUUUAUUAGGAGUACAUAGUGAAAACUUGAGAACUUACCUUAGCUCAAUAGCUCAAUAACUCAGCCACAUUUUCUGUCUUUUCUUUUUCUUUUUUUUAAGCAUGAACAACAUAUACCUAAACUUUUAAAGAGGCAUUUUAACCUUAAAUAUAGUUACCUUUAUUUAUUGCAUUUAGAUUAUAGCACAAUUCAGAAACAUGUGAGGAUGACAAAAAUGUCAAAUUAGAAUUCAAUAAAAUGAUUAAGCUGUUUAAAAUACUUGUUUCAUGUUUAAGUUUGAGUAUCAAAUUUAUACUGUAUGCAAGAUGACUGAAUCUUAGUCAAUCUUUUGAAACUGCUUAAAGUCAUAAAGCUGAACAGAAAUCAAAACGGCUGCGCUGAUGCUUUGGUGAACUUCUAUCUUAAAGUAACCUCUUUCCUCUCCUUCCCAAAUCUCCCCUCCUCCCUUCUUAGCCUUUUGUUUCGAGAACCCAAUACCACCCUAAAGACAAGAUGAAGGAGGCUAGUAGCACUUAGACAAUUCCUGUCAAAAUGGACUAGAUCUUGUAUUUCCCUAUAACCCCUCCCCAACCCCAGCCCCUUC